GAUGAACGCUGGCGGCGUGCUUAACACAUGCAAGUCGAACGGAAAGGCCCAAGCUUGCUUGGGUACUCGAGUGGCGAACGCGUGAGUAACACGUGGGUGAUCUGCCCUGCACUUCGGGAUAAGCCUUGGAAACUGGGUCUAAUACCGGAUAGGACCACAUUAUGGAUGUUGUGGUGGAGAGUUUUUCGGUGUGGGAUGAGCUCGCGGCCUAUCAGCUUGUUGGUGGGGUAAUGGCCUACCAAGGCGUCGACGAGUAGCCGGCCUGAGAGGGUGUACGGCCACAUAGAGACUGAGGUACGGCCCAGACACGUACGGGAGGGAGCAGUGGGAAAUAUUGCACGAGGGGCGCAAGGCGAAUGAUGCAACGCCGCGGAGGGGAAGACUGCCUUCUGGUUGUAGACUCAUUGCGCUAGGGACGAAGCGUUAUGUGACGGUACCUAGAGAAAAAGCCACGGCUAACUACGUG
rnacentral:rRNA from 1 species